rnacentral:rRNA from 1 species
CCUACGGAGGGCAGCAGUGAGGAAUAUUGGUCAAUGGGCUUACGCCUGAACCAGCCAAGUCGCGUGAGGGAAGACUGCCCUAUGGGUUGUAAACCUCUUUUGUCAGGGAGCAACGCCGGCUACGUGUAGCCGGACUGAGAGUACCUGAAGAAAAAGCAUCGGCUAACUCCGUGCCAGCAGCCGCGGUAAUACGGAGGAUGCGAGCGUUAUCCGGAUUUAUUGGGUUUAAAGGGUGCGUAGGCGGAAUGCCAAGUCAGCGGUAAAAUCGCGGGGCUCAACCUCGCUCCGCCGUUGAAACUGGCGCUCUUGAGUGGGCGAGAAGUAUGCGGAAUGCGUGGUGUAGCGGUGAAAUGCAUAGAUAUCACGCAGAACUCCGAUUGCGAAGGCAGCAUACCGGCGCCCAACUGACGCUGAAGCACGAAAGCGUGGGUAUCGAACAGGAUUAGAUACCCCAGUAGUC